rnacentral:lncRNA from 1 species
UCUGGGACCUCAUCCACCUCCUGAAGCUGUUGGUCCUCUGGGGCCUUAUCCACCUUCUGCAACUGUAGGUCUUCUGGGACCUCAUCCACCUCCUGCAGCUGGUGGUCCUCUCGGACCUCAUCCAUCUCCUGCACCAGUAGGUCCUCUGGGAUCUCAUCCACCUCCUGCAGCUGUUGGUCCUCUGGGACCUCAUCCACCUCCUGCAGCUCCUUGUCCUCCCGGACCUUAUCCAUCUUCUGCAUGUUUCUGUCCUCCGGGACCUCAUCCAUCUUUUAUAGCUGCCUUUCCUCUGGGACAUCAUUCACCUUUUUGUUCUGUGAGGCCUCUGGGACCUCCGACUACAUCUCCACUUAGUAAUCUCUGGAUCCUCAGCCACCCCUUCUACCUGGGUGGCCUCUGGCCCCUCAACUACCACCUUCACAUGAAUCUCCUCAGCUACUUCAAUAAUCUCCACUUGUGGUCCCUGGGACUUCAGCCACCUCCUCCACCAGGGUCUCUUCUAGUACAUCUGCCACCUCCUCCACUUGCCUGGCCUCUGCUAUCUGAACCAACUCCUCUGGGACCUCAACCAGCUCCUCUACCCAUUGUGGCCUGUAAGACCUCAACCACCAACUCCACAUGUACCACUUGGAUAAUUUUGAAAUUUGAAGAGUCUCCUGGGCCAUGAUAUCUUGGAAAAGUCUCCACCAUAUUUGAUGCUCCAUGCCCCGUGCUCCCUCCUCUCUCUCUCAUUUCCAGUGUUUCCCUUUAGAAACAUUUGCAGUCCUAUCUUUCUGGGUGUCUGCUUCCUGGAGGACCAGUUCACACCCCAGGGUAUACCAGGUGUGACUCCUCGUACACUAUUCAAACUCAGGCAGAUACUGCCUUGCUGGACACAGAAGCAGGGUUACCCUUUGGGUAGUGUUGACUGGUAAGGGCCCGAGGGGGACUUCUGGGGUGGGGGAAUAUCCUGUAUCCAGCCACGGGUGGAGGUUGUGCUCAUUCAUUCUAGAAAGAGUCACUGUGUUCCUAGUGACUGCCAGUGGUGCCUUGUGAGCAGAUAGACAGUAAUACAUCCCCAUGAGGUGGCCAACUUCUGACAGGGAAUAGAAGGGCCCAGCAGCGGCUGUGGAGCCCUUAAGGAGCCUCGCAGAGACUCAGGGUUUGUCAGAGCCCAUGCCCCACUGAGCCAGCUGCCCCCCGGUAGCACCAACUCCAGGCGGCUCUAAGGGAAGCUGAGCUGGGUGUAGACAUUUCUCCAUAAGUCCUGUGCCCCCCACCAUCUUCCUGUAAUUUUUAAAUUGUGUGAUAGGCAGAGAUCGGUGGUGAGAGGCUAACUGAGCUGGACUGGAGAGGAGUGAAGAACGCAGGGGUGAGGUCAGUCAGAGGACGGGACAGGCAGAGAGAAGAUGAGAGAGAAGGGAUGAGAGAGGGAGGGGAAGGACAAAGAGAAGGAGAAAGACAGGGAGGAUAGAGAGAGAGGGGUUGAAACAGUGAGAGAAAGAGAGAAGGGAGAGAGAGAGAAGGUGGAGGGUGAGGGGAGAGAGAGAGAGAUGGAGAUGGGAGGAUGGAGUCAUGGAGAGAAGUUGAUUUGGGCCCAGGGGGAGAAAAGGAAAGCUGGAAGAGACAAAGACAGAAGGACCCACAGUGAGAACCAAGGGAGCUGGAGGGAGGGAGGUGUCCAGAGAGCUGGCCAGUGAUCCACAUACCGAGAGGAAGGCAGAGAGUAAAAGAGAAGAGAGGAAUGAAGACAGAGGAAACAAGAGAGAUGGAGAGGACUGAGACAGGGAGAGGAGGCUGGAGAGAAUCACAGACAAACAGCACAAUAGAGGAAGGGAAAGAGUUGUUGAAGACAGGGUCACAGAAAGAGAGAAAGGAAGGACAAAGAGGGAGGCAGAGAGAAGCAGAGAGAAGCAGAGAAAGAGAAAGCAGGGAACAAAGCAGUGAGCCGGCAGGAGGUGGAGGGGGGGCGGCACAGCAGUUGGGAGGAGUUCUUGCACUCCAAGCCGUGACCUCCUUGGGGCCUUGAAAGCCCAUCACAUGGGGACACGUAGGCCUCCCUUGUGGCUGGGUUGCUGUGUGGAGCCUCUGGGUCUGUCCCUGAAGCAGGGACUUCCAGGGGAAAGGGCUGCCCUGUCACAGGUUUGCCUCCUCUGUGGGGUGGGGACCCAGAGCAGCCUCCCUCGCUGUCCUGGUCCCUGCUGCAUUUCCCAUCCUGGCCAGCUAGGUGGCCGUCAAGUCCCAUACCUGGGAACCAGGCUGAGACCCUUUGUCCAGCCUCAUCUGUUCUCACCUGGCUCCAGAUUCCAGCCACAGCUCUGGCAAACAGUCCAUGCGUGCUGGCUGUCACCAGAUCCACACACCCCGG